AUUGAACGCUGGCGGCAGGCCUAACACAUGCAAGUCGAGCGGAUGAAGGGAGCUUGCUCCUGGAUUCAGCGGCGGACGGGUGGGUAAUGCCUAGGAAUCUGCCUGGUAGUGGGGGAUAACGUCCGGAAACGGGCGCUAAUACCGCAUACGUCCUGAGGGGGAAAGUGGGGGGUCUUCGGACCUCACGCUAUCAGAUGAGCCUAGGUCGGAUUAGCUAGUUGGUGGGGUAAAGGCCUACCAAGGCGACGAUCCGUAACUGGUCUGAGAGGAUGAUCAGUCACACUGGAACUGAGACACGGUCCAGACUCCUACGGGAGGCAGCAGUGGGGAAUAUUGGACAAUGGGCGAAAGCCUGAUCCAGCCAUGCCGCGUGUGUGAAGAAGGUCUUCGGAUUGUAAAGCACUUUAAGUUGGGAGGAAGGGCAGUAAGUUAAUACCUUGCUGUUUUGACGUUACCAACAGAAUAAGCACCGGCUAACUUCGUG
rnacentral:rRNA from 1 species